UGCGGGGUAGUUCAGUAGUAGAACGCUGGAUUCAUAAUCCAGAGGUCGGUGGUGCAAUUCCACUCCCCGCUACCA
rnacentral:tRNA from 1 species